UAAAACAAAAAACAGAUCAAAAUCAGUUCUUGGAGGUGCACCUCAAAUCUGUGAGGAUCUCAACAGCUGACACCAAUUUGCCUGAGCCUCUUUUGGAUGGGCUUGCCCAUGCUCCAGUGAACACAGGCCAGACCUCCUUCUGAUGCAAAGCUAGUAGUGGUUUUGGUUGCUGCACUGAUAAACCGCAUGCAGAUCAGGAAUUUGGUUACCAGUAUUUUCAGAGCUUUCUUCAACUCAUACAAAUGCACAGUCAGGGUCUGUCAAAGGAUCAGCUGAGAUGAGGGGUGUCUGGCUGUCAAGAUGUACUUAUGGACGAGUGACAGCGUUCCAUCCCAGCUGUUGGACAGGUUCUGUGAAGAGAAACUUUGCAAGCAAGAAAAAUGCAUUGGCUGUUAAAGGAGGGAAGAGUGUCACUCAUUCAUUUUCCCUCCCACCACUGACCUCCCAGUCUGUUGACUCAUGUCCCACGAAAUGCAAUGUCUGCGACCUAUGUGAAAGAGACAAGGAUCCAGUGGGCACGAGAUUUAGUGUAUCCUUCAAAGCAGGAGCCUCCUUGAUGUUGGUUGACUCCAGUCGCAACAGUCAAGUGUGGAACAGCAAAGAGACAUGGCAGGGGAGCGCCGCUCUGAAGAAUGAGAGUCAGUGAGGGUACCACAUGGGGACACGCUCGCCUGUUGACGCUCCAGCUUUUAAUAUGCUUGAAUUGGCACAGGAAUUAAUGUAAGCUAACCCCAAAAUUCAGUUUUAAUUAUGCUCCUGCCAGACUAUGCGCCCCACUUUCCUUUUCCCAUCAGGCCCUAUCACCCUGAUGGUUGCCAUGCCAUGUUUCUGCCACCCAUUACUCUGGCUGUGUUUUGACAAACUUCUUGCUGUAAAAUGCUUGGUUAAAGGUGGUGGUGGGUCAGCAGCAGAGCCAAUGUGUUAAUCAUAAUAGCAGUAGUGCUAUAGGACGCUUAUAGUACAGACAUUUCUGACAUUUGUGUGCAUGUGUGCACAUUUCAAAUGGUACAUAUGUUUCAUAUGGACAUGUAUAUACAUACUGUAAAUAUACAUGUGGAACAGUGACUUCAGAAAUCUAUGAAUAAUUCUGAAAUUCAGUUAAUCAAAGAGCCCAAAGCGAGUUGUGAGCCAUUAAAACUAAGUAUGGCUUCUUCCCAGUGACAGAGGGCUGUUUGUUGCUCAGCCUCAGGUUCUUUCUUCAGGACAGUACCAGCGUGCCAAACGGUGGAAGUGGGUCAGUGCUCAGUCACACAGUGGCUGCAACACAUACAUCACACGUGCACCUGUACAAACAUACAGAGGGAGGAAAAGCAGAGAAGAGCUGGAAUGGCGUCACCUUCCAAACUUGAAUUUAAACCACUUUUUACGCACAAAAAAUGCUCUGUAACCAGGGUUUUCUGUCUUUUGUGCCUUAGCCAUGGGUGCAAAUUACACAAAGACUGAUGCCAUACACUACAAGUUUAGAUACUAUAGGCUGAUAGAUGUACUUAUGAAAUACACGACAGAGUAUGCCAAAUGAGUAAAGUAUGUACAUUUUGUAAUUUGUUGGUGUUGCACUUGGUGCAGUCUGCGGGAACUGCUGUCCUGUGUGUCUGACUCAGAACAAGGACUCUCGCCUGCAACAAAGCCAAGACCGCAGAGGCAAUAUAUUUUACAGCCUUUAUGUUCUCAGCUAUAGCUCUUUAUAGUUCAGUGCCUAUAGCUUUCUGUGACUCAGCAAUCUAACAACUCAGAUGAAUGCAGACAAGCCGAUGCCAAAGCCUGUGUGGUUUUGUGAGUGUAUACUUAGGCAUGUCUGGAAGGAGCAGGGUGUUAUUUUAUGUCAAAGGUCUGUGCAUUCACAGAUGCAGAACAUUUGUCAGAGCAGGAGGCUUCUAUUACAGCUAAUAAGAGAUGGAAAGCUUACCGCUUAUUCACUUCUAUUUUGUCCCUGCCAGAGAAAGAGUGAAGGAAAACUAAUUAUGGCAAUGAAAUACAAGUUUACUAAAAAGAAAAAACAAGUACUAAAAGAAGAAACAAGUACUACUAACUUGCUUUGAGGUAAGGGCCACAUUUUAAAAAACUUCUUCCCAAAUGGGGCAAUUAUUACACAAGACUAAGAGUCAACAGCCAUGCUAGCAGCUCUGUGAGGCUGUAUUUUGGCAUACUAACAUGCUCACAAUGACUAGGCUAACAUGCUGAUGUUUAGCAGGUAUAAUAUUUUAUAUUUUUUAUAUAUUAGCUAAUUAACACUAAACACAAAGAAGGCCUACUGCUGAGGCUGAUGGGAAUGUCAUUACUUGCAGUUACUGCAGGUAUAUGGCCAAAUACCUGCAGUAACUGCAAGUAAUGAUAAUCAUUAAUCAUAAAGCAUUGGACAAACUUGAAUAUGGCACUAGAUGAAAAGUACAAUUCAUCCUAAGGAGCACUUGAUUGUUGGAACCAGAUUACAUGGCAAUCUAUCCAGUAGCUGUUGAGACAUUUGACUCAAAAGAACAAAUGUGGUUGCCUGGAGGCACAAGAGGAAAACACAGGGAAUUACCAAAGUCAGUAUAGGUUUCAUCUUCUGGGGAUCAUGAAUGUCUGGAAUUGUCUGGAAUUAUGUGCCAAUCCAGCAUGUAGAUAAAGGAAAACUUUGAUCUGCUGGUGGCACAGAUAUGAUAGGUAUUGAAUUCAGAUUAUUUCAAUGUGGGCCUUAUUUUUCUUUGGCAAAUGAGCACACGUCUCUGAAUUAGAGACAAAAUUCUUCGUCUGUACUUACAGAGCCAAAAUGGGAGGACAUAUAAGUCACUCCUUGGUAAGUCUAAGACUAUAUGCCAGUGUCUUGAUUGGCACUAGUUUGUUGGGAAUUAAACAACUUUACCUCAGUGUGUAAAUGUUUUUACAAGUUUACUCACAGUGUCUGAACAUUUGUGAUCUCAAGAAUGAAAAGGUGGCUGUCCCACUGUCUCUCCCCCAUGUCUGUCUUAUUCUCACAGCAUGGACUGUCAUGUAUGACCUCAA